GAGAAUUGAAAGCAGUAGCUUUCAAUCAAAUUGCUCUCUCUCUCUCUCUCUCUCUCUCUCUCUCUCUCUCUCUCUCUCUCUUUCUUAGGAUUUUAAAAGAAUGCUGGCCUGGGCAGCCAAGGCUCUCUCCUAAACUCUUCCACUGUUUUUCUUUGCUCUCUGAUGUUUUGAGAUGAAACCUGUUUUCUGAGAGUGUUUUCAUCUCUCCUUCUGCCCCUUCCUGGCCUUAGAGAAUUCCGAGACCUAUGGGCCCAGGACAAGUGCCAGCAAGCCUGUGCGUUCAUCUGCCAGGCUCCUGCAUGCCUGCUCUGCCAUGCUUUCUACAGUCAACUCAGAGCCCCAUGAGAACAUUCUAACAUGGGCACUGCAUGAGAGAGCUACAUCAGAAACAGGUGAGGAGGUGUACUGCCAUUGAUGCUAAGUCCACAGGCCUCAUUAUUUUAUGACUUUGAUGCAGCCAUGUGUCCCCUCAUUCCUGAUAUAAUUUGACAGUCUCAUAGCUGCCUUUCUGUGCUUUCCAGUCUGGUGUCAAUCAGCCCUGGUAAGCCAUUAUCUGAGGAACUUCUCUAUGUCCACCACAACCCUUGGGUCACCAAGGAUGUAUCCAGGCUCAGAUAGGGCUCCAGGACCAAGCUGCACUGAAAGAUUCAAGGAUU
ensembl:lncRNA